rnacentral:rRNA from 1 species
UUCCGGUUGAUCCCGCCGGAGGUUACUGCUAUCGAGGUUCGACUAAGCCAUGCGAGUCGAAUGUAGCAAUACAUGGCGAACUGCUCAGUAACACGUGGACAACCUGCCCUUAGGUUGGGUAUAAACCCGGGAAACUGGGUAUAAUACCCGAUAGGUCUCGAUUGCUGGAAUGCAUCGAGAUUUAAAGCUCCGGCGCCUAAGGAUGGGUCUGCGGCCUAUCAGGUAGUAGUGGGUGUAGCGUACCUACUAGCCUACGACGGGUACGGGUUGUGAGAGCAAGAGCCCGGAGAUGGAUUCUGAGACACGAAUCCAGGCCCUACGGGGUGCAGCAGGCGCGAAAACUUUACAAUGCUGGCAACAGCGAUAAGGGAACCUCGAGUGCCAGGUUACAAAUCUGGCUGUCGAGAUGCCUAAAAAGCAUUUCAUAGCAAGGGCCGGGCAAGACCGGUGCCAGCCGCCGCGGUAACACCGGCGGCUCGAGUGGUAACCGUUAUUAUUGGGUCUAAAGGGUCUGUAGCCGGCCGGAUAAGUCUCUUGAGAAAUCUGGCAUCUUAACU